GGGUCAGUAGGUUGGUCGUGCCACCGGUACGUACUGGUCUCACUGAUUCCUCCUUCCUGAAGAACCAUAAUGCCAUUAAUUUGGUGUUGCGGGGAAACAGGACUGUUACUUUGAAAAAAUUAGAGUGUUUAAAGCAAGCUAACGCUUGGAUACAUUAGCAUGGAAUAAUGAAAUAGGACGAUCGAUCCUAUUUUGUUGGUUUCUAGGAUUGACGUA
rnacentral:rRNA from 1 species